CUUGGAUUCGUCUGGGGGUGAAAGUGGCGAACGGGUGAGUAACGCGUUGGUGAUCUGCCCCGGAGUGGGGAAUAACUAUUGGAAACGAUAGCUAAUACCCCAGAUGUCUUCGUUUUUGGAAAGCGAUGACUAAAGUUCAGGCGCUCCGGGAGGAGCCAGCGUCCCAUCAGCUAGUUGGUAAGGUAACGGCUUACCAAGGCACAGACGGGUAGGGGGCGUGAGAGCGUGGCCCCCCACACUGGUACUGACACACGGACCAGAUACCUACGGGUAGCAGCAGCUAGGAAUAUUGGACAAUGGGCGAAAGCCUGAUCCAGCAACACCGCGUGGAGGACGAAGGCCUUCGGGUCGUAAACUCCUUUUUGGGGGGAUGAGAAAGGACAGUACCCCCAGAAUAAGGCCCGGCUAACUACGUGCCAGCAGCCGCGGUAAUACGUAGGGGCCAAGCGUUAUCCGGAUUUACUGGGCGUAAAGCGCAUGUAGGCGGUUUGCUAAGUCGGACGUGAAAGCCCCUGGCUCAACUAGGAGAGGUCGUUCGAAACUAGUAGACUAGAGGGUGGUAGAGGAGAGCGGAAUUCCAGGUGUAGCGGUGAAAUGCGUAGAUAUCUGGAGGAACACCAGUGGCGAAAGCGGCUCUCUAGCCCACUCCUGACGCUGAGAUGCGAAAGCCAGGGGAGAGAACGGGAUUAGAAACCCCGGUAUUCCUGGCCGUAAACGAUGUCAACUAGGCGUAGGAGGUUAUUGACCCCUUCUGUGCUGUAGCUAACGCGUUAAGUUGACCGCCUGGGGACUACGGCCGCAAGGCUAAAACUCAAAGGAAUUGACGGGUCCCCGCACAAGC
rnacentral:rRNA from 1 species